CUACGCGCACCGGAAGACGGAGGUCCUCUUUCCUUGCCUAACGCAGCCAUGACUCGUGGUCCCAAGAAGCAUCUGAAGCGGGUAGCAGCUCCAAAGCAUUGGAUGCUGGAUAAAUUGACUGGUGUGUUUGCUCCUCGUCCAUCCACCGGUCCCCACAAGUUGAGAGAGUGUCUCCCCCUCAUCAUUUUCCUAAGGAACAGACUUAAGUAUGCCCUGACAGGAGAUGAAGUAAAGAAGAUUUGCAUGCAGCAGUUCAUUAAGAUCGAUGGCAAGGUCCGAACUGAUAUAACGUAGCCUGCUGGAUUCAUGGAUGUCAUCAGCAUUGACAAGACGGGAGAGAAUUUCCGUCUGAUCUAUGACACCAAGGGUCGCUUUGCUGUACAUCGUAUUACACCUGAGGAGGCCAAGUACAAGUUAUGCAAAGUGAGAAAGAUCUUUGUGGGCACAAAAGGAAUCCCUCAUCUGGUGACUCAUGAUGCCCGCACCAUCCGCUACCCCGAUCCCCUCAUCAAGGUGAAUGAUACCAUUCAGAUUGAUUUGGAGACUGGCAAGAUUACUGAUUUCAUCAAGUUCGACACUAGUAACCUGUGUAUGGUGACUGGAGGUGCUAACCCGGGAAGAAUUGGUGUGAUCACCAACAGAGAGAGGCAUCCUGGAUCUUUUGACGUGGUUCACGUGAAAGAUGCCAAUGGCAACAGCUUUGCCACUCGACUUUCCAACAUUUUUGUUAUUGGCAAGGGCAACAAACCAUGGAUUUCUCUUCCCCGAGGAAAGGGUAUCCGCCUCACCAUUGCUGAAGAGAGAGACAAAAGACUGGCGGCCAAACAGAGCAGUGGGUGAAAUGGGUCCCUGGGUGCCAUGUCAGAGCUUUGUAUGUAAUUAAAAAUAUUGUGGCAGGAUAAA